GACGAACGCUGGCGGCGUGCUUAACACAUGCAAGUCGAACGGUAAGGCCCUUCGGGGUACACGAGUGGCGAACGGGUGAGUAACACGUGGGUGAUCUGCCCUGCACUUCGGGAUAAGCCUGGGAAACUGGGUCUAAUACCGGAUAGGACCACUGCCUGCAAGGGUGGGGGGGGAAAGCUUUUGCGGUGUGGGGUGGGCCGGCGGCCUAUCAGCUUGUUGGUGGGGUGAUGGCCUACCAAGGCGACGACGGGUAGCCGGCCUGAGAGGGUGACCGGCCACACUGGGACUGAGAUACGGCCCAGACUCCUACGGGAGGCAGCAGUGGGGAAUAUUGCACAAUGGGCGCAAGCCUGAUGCAGCGACACCGCGUGAGGGAUGACGGCCUUCGGGUUGUAAACCUCUUUCAGCACCGACGAAGCGCAAGUGACGGUAGGUGCAGAAGAAGGACCGGCCAACUACGUGCCAGCAGCCGCCGUAA
rnacentral:rRNA from 1 species